rnacentral:rRNA from 1 species
GGGGAAUAUUGCACAAUGGGCGCAAGCCUGAUGCAGCCAUGCCGCGUGUGUGAAGAAGGCCUUAGGGUUGUAAAGCACUUUCAGCGAGGAGGAAGGGUUCAGUGUUAAUAGCACUGUGCAUUGACGUUACUCGCAGAAGAAGCACCGGCUAACUCCGUGCCAGCAGCCGCGGUAAUACGGAGGGUGCAAGCGUUAAUCGGAAUUACUGGGCGUAAAGCGCACGCAGGCGGUUUGUUAAGUCAGAUGUGAAAUCCCCGAGCUUAACUUGGGAACUGCAUUUGAAACUGGCAAGCUAGAGUCUUGUAGAGGGGGGUAGAAUUCCAGGUGUAGCGGUGAAAUGCGUAGAGAUCUGGAGGAAUACCGGUGGCGAAGGCGGCCCCCUGGACAAAGACUGACGCUCAGGUGCGAAAGCGUGGGGAGCAAAC